CACCGGCGGCUCGAGUGGUAACCGUUAUUAUUGGGUCUAAAGGGUCUGUAGCCGGCCGGAUAAGUCCCUUGAGAAAUCCAUCGGCUUAACUGAUGGGCGUUCAGGGGAUACUGUGGUUCUAGGGACCGGGAGAGGUGAGAGGUACUUCAGGGGUAGGGGUGAAAUCUUGUAAUCCUUGAAGGACCACCAGUGGCGAAGGCGUCUCACCAGAACGGACCUGACGGCAAGGGACGAAAGCUAGGGGCACGAACCGGAUUAGAUACCCGGGUAGUCCUAGCCGUAAACGAUACUCGCUAGGUGUCGGCCACGGUGCGACCGUUGUCGGUGCCGUAGGGAAGCCGUGAAGCGAGCCACCUGGGAAGUACGGCCGCAAGGCUGAAACUUAAAGGAAUUGGCGGGGGAGCACCACAACGGGUGGAGCUUGCGGUUUAAUUGGACUCAACGCCGGA
rnacentral:rRNA from 1 species